GGAUGUAACAAUGAUCUGGCUGCAACAGCUGUCACCCCAUAGAUCGCCAGGGUUGAUUUGGCUGAUUUGGCUGGCUAGGCAGGUGUCCCCUUCCUCCCUCACUGCUCCAUGGGUGUUCCAACCAAAGCUGCAUACUCAGUCGAAGAGGACAACCAUCCCCGAUAGAGGAGAACUGGUCUUCGGUCAAGUGUAUACAAGUAGCUGCACUCUCUUGCUAGAAUCUCCAAACAAGCUUUCAGUUGUCUCAACCAGAAAAAAAAAAAAAAAACAACUCUUGCCUAUUUCUACCAUAAAAGUUGUUCUGAAAUAAUGUUU
rnacentral:snRNA from 1 species